UUCUGGAGAUCUUUAAUCCAACCUCUAUUCAAAGCAGGCCUGAAGAAGGGAGGCCAGCACAACCUUGGUGUCACCUACUCUUGGAAACCUCCAAAGAAGAGAUGAGCCCAGCUGCCUGCCCRAGGAGAAGACCUCUGUCAAAGCAUGCUCACUGACAAAUGAAAGCCCCUGCGCUGAGAUUAUGAGGAACUUUAUGGUCGUGGGAACUUCAGACAAGGAUAUGUGAGCCUCCCCCUCCUGCCCUGGCAGUGACCCCARCUCCAAUCCCAGUCCUGCAGCUCGACCACAACUGGGACAGCUCRUGACUCUCUUGGCCACAGACCCCAGGGCCCCAAAAGGUGAAAAGUGAGGACAGAGCUCCAGACAUAACCUCUCCUGUUGGACAUAAGAUAAAAGAGAAUCAGGCUUCAAAACAGAUAAUGAAUUUCUUCUAACUCGUCUGGAGACUGAAGAGCCAUAAUUCUGAUUGAUCAGAUAUGGUCUGCUACAKAGAGGCACCAGAUGUGGUCCAGAUUUUAAAUAGAUGCUGCUACUGUCAAAAUGCAUUCGCUCCCUCCUGGUGUAACAAAGUGAAGUCCAUCUGUCUGGAGUCCUGCACUUUUUUUAGUGAUGAGGGUGCGUAUAGUGCUUAUCCUUGGAGAAAUUUCUUCUGAAGCAAAGAAAGAAAUAUAGAUUUAACUCUUUGCUGCUAUUCCUAAAGAAAAACCACUGAUCUUCUCCCUUGGCCUUGCAAUGGUUUCAAUGAGGAAAUUAAAGCACAGGGAGGACAGAAGCUAACAUUUUCCAGCUUAGGCAACUGAAGCAUUAGAUAGCUUGGGCUCUAUCCAGGACACAUUUGGAAAGGAACUGAUCCCUGUAGUUCCUAUGCAACGAUGAGAUUUACUACUCAGGUCGAUGCGUAUCUCUGUGUUUCCAGGGGCCAUUCCCUCUAAGGUUACAUGAAAGGGGCCCAAGGCAUUUCAGCUGCUGCUGGGCAUGGCAGAACACUGCAGGGACUUCAGGUGGGAGCUGCUGAGCAUUGAGGAGAGAGCAGAGGUGAGAGCAAGGAAAAAAGCUGUUUGAAGAUCUGCUGGUGCCUSCUUUCCCAUCUCUGUGUGAGGUCURCUGGUCCCUGCUCUCCCGACUCUGGGUAAGGUGGCUCUGCUGUGGCACUGAUGUACUUUGUUCUGUCCUGAAAAUGUGGAGGAUAGUGCUAAAAACCAGGUAAAAAUACUCAUGUAACACUGUGUUUCAGUCAUCAAAUUCAGCUCUUCCUCAGUUUCUUUACAGAGCAGUUGCUUUCAUGAUGCCCUUCAACAUGCUCAUCAUAAAAGGUGACUCCAGUGUGGUAGAGUCAUCUGUUGGACACCAGUGGACAAGCUACAAGCAGCCAAAAUAAACUAGUUUAGGAGGAGUGUAGUUGAGAAUGGCUUUAAAUUAGUAUUCUUGAUUCCCAUGUUUCUGUUCCCAGCCUAAUUUCUUGCUGUCCAGUAGUACUGCUGCUGUAUGCAUCACACAGCUGGGCACUUGGUGCAUCUGAAAACAGCAACCUGGUCAUCUAUCACCCUGUGCUCAGCUACAGGAAUGCAAAUCAUUGGCCUCUUGUCUGGAGCAACAGUGCAGUCAAAUGGUUGAAACAAUGAGUGCAAAAUGCUUGAUGUAGUUGUUGUUGACGUUGCAGACCCAGGAGAAACAUCUCUGAUUUCCCAGGAGAGUCAAYAAGAUAAAACUGGUGUGAGAAGAAAAUAAGUUCUGUCAGCAUUGCUGGCUGUAUUUAUUUGUUAGUUUUAAUGUUUAAAGUGUGGCCUGUGUUGUAUCCUGACUCCUGGUGAUCCCACUGGCAGAAAAAAGGYGAAGCAGGUUGAUAUCAGGCUGGUGUCCAUCCUCACCCUAGCAUUCAAUACCCCACCACCACUACACUGCCAAAUGCUCUUCCAGGCUGUACCCAGACAAGGCAGCCCACUGGCACAGCAGGGACA